UUUUCCAGAAUUUCCCCCCAGAGUAAAUGACAUAGACACUUUCCCUGCAAUUCAACUACUCUACCUCUUAGUGACGUUCUUUAUUAUUGGAGUAUCCUGGAGGGAAUAUCACAAAAAUGAAAACAUGAAGAAAGAAAAAGUAUAAUGCUAGGCUGCUGCUGCUGCUGCUAAGUCGCUUCAGUCCUGUCCGACUCUGUGCAACCCCAUAGACGGCCUCCUACCAGGCUCCUCUGUCUCUGGGAUUCUCCAGGCAAGAACACUGGAGUGGGUUGCCAUUUCCUUCUCCAAUGCAUGAAAGGGAAAAGUGAAAGUGAAGUUGCUCAGUCGUGUCCGACUCUUAGCGACGCCGUGGACUGCAGCCUACCAGGCUCCUCCAUCCAUGGGAUUUUCCAG
ensembl:lncRNA